AGCUUCCAGUGGAGACGUCAGCCGACUUGGACUCAGGGAAGAAUUAACACACAGCGGAACAGAAGCAGGAUGAGGCAAGGCUGUGCGCUAACUCUGAUGCUGGUGGUGGCGGUGUGCGCAGCGCUGUCUGCGGCGCAGCUCAACUUCUCCACCGGUUGGGGUCGGCGCUAUACAGAUCCCAACGCUGACCCCAUGGCGUUCCUCUACAAGCUCAUACAGAUUGAGGCGAGGAAGUUAGCCGGCUGCUCAAAUUAAACUCUGCAGAUACCGUCGAGGAAGCCCGCACACUUGAACUACAAGUAUAAUUAUUAUGAUUUGUUUUCCUUAAUUGCGAACUAUGUGUGCUUCUCAAAUCAACCAAUAAAAAUAAUUGAUGCAGUCAAA
rnacentral:lncRNA from 1 species